AGCGAACGCUGGCGGCAGGCUUAACACAUGCAAGUCGAACGAUCCUUCGGGAUAGUGGCGGACGGGUGAGUAACACGUGGGAACGUGCCUUUUGGUUCGGAAUAACUCAGGGAAACUUGAGCUAAUACCGGAUGUGCCCUUCGGGGAAAGGAUUAUCGCCAUUAGAGCGGCCCGCGUCUGAUUAGCUUGUUGGUGAGGUAAUGGCUCACCAAGGCGACGAUCAGUAGCUGGCUGAGAGGAUGAUCAGCCACAUUGGGACUGAGACACGGCCCAAACUCCUACGGGAGGCAGCAGUGGGGAAUCUUGCGCAAUGGGCGAAAGCCUGACGCAGCCAUGCCGCGUGAAUGAUGAAGGUCUUAGGAUUGU
rnacentral:rRNA from 1 species